rnacentral:tRNA from 12 species
GGGGCAGUAGCUCAGCGGUUAGAGCUGCGGACUCAUAACCCGUAGGUCACAGGUUCAAAUCCUGUCUGCCCCA